GUUUGGAUGGCUCAGUUGGUUAGAGCGCAGGUCUCAUACUGUAGUGAGACCGUUCCGUGGGCGGGUAAUCCUGAGGUCGUGAGUUCGAUCCUCAUCCGAGCA
rnacentral:tRNA from 1 species